AUACAGGGGGUGCGAGCGUUAAUCGGAAUUACAGGGCGUAAAGAGUACGUAGGCGGUUGCUUAAGUCAGAUGUGAAAGCCCCGGGCUCAACCUGGGAACUGCAUUUGAAACUGAGUGACUAGAGUUUAAGAGAGGGGAGUAGAAUUCCGGGUGUAGCGGUGAAAUGCGUAGAGAUCCGGAGGAAUACCAGUGGCGAAGGCGGCUCCCUGGCUUAAAACUGACGCUGAGGUACGAAAGCGUGGGUAGCAAACAGGAUUAGAAACCCUAGUAGUCC
rnacentral:rRNA from 1 species